rnacentral:misc_RNA from 1 species
GAUGAAGAACGCAGCGAAAUGCGAUAAGUAAUGUGAAUUGCAGAAUUCAGUGAAUCAUCGAAUCUUUGAACGCACAUUGCGGCCAUAGGUAUUCCUUUGGCCAUGCCUGUUCGAGCGUCAUUUACACCCUCAAGCCUAGCUUGGUGUUGGGCGUCUGUCCCGCCGUUCUCGCGCGCGGACUCGCCUCAAAGUCAUUGGCGGCGGUCGUGCCGGCCCCCUCGCGCAGCACAUUUGCGCUUCUCGGAGGCCCGGCGGAUCCGCGCUCCAGCAAGACCUUUCACGACUUGACCUCGGAUCAGGUAGGGAUACCCGCUGAACUUAAGCAUAUCAAUAAGCGGAGGA